rnacentral:rRNA from 1 species
UAGGGAAUCUUCCGCAAUGGGCGAAAGCUUGACGGAGCAACGCCGCGUGAGUGAUGAAGGUCUUCGGAUCGUAAAACUCUGUUAUUAGGGAAGAACAAAUGUGUAAGUAACUAUGCACGUCUUGACGGUACCUAAUCAGAAAGCCACGGCUAACUACGUGCCAGCAGCCGCGGUAAUACGUAGGUGGCAAGCGUUAUCCGGAAUUAUUGGGCGUAAAGCGCGCGUAGGCGGUUUUUUAAGUCUGAUGUGAAAGCCCACGGCUAAACCGUGGAGGGUCAUUGGAAACUGGAAAACUUGAGUCCAGAAGAGGAAAGUGGAAUUCCAUGUGUAGCGGUGAAAUGCGCAGAGAUAUGGAGGAACACCAGUGGCGAAGGCGACUUUCUGGUCUGUAACUGACGCUGAUGUGCGAAAGCGUGGGGAUCAAACAGG